GACGAACGCUGGCGGCGUGCUUAACACAUGCAAGUCGAACGAUGAUGCCAGCUUGCUGGGUGGAUUAGUGGCGAACGGGUGAGUAACACGUGAGUAACCUGCCCCUGACUCUGGGAUAAGCGUUGGAAACGACGUCUAAUACUGGAUAUGACUGCCGGCCGCAUGGUCUGGUGGUGGAAAGAUUUUUUGGUUGGGGAUGGACGCGCGGCCUAUCAGCUUGUUGGCGAGGUAAUGGCUCACCAAGGCGACGACGGGUAGCCGGCCUGAGAGGGUGACCGGCCACACUGGGACUGAGACACGGCCCAGACUCCUACGGGAGGCAGCAGUGGGGAAUAUUGCACAAUGGGCGAAAGCCUGAUGCAGCAACGCCGCGUGAGGGAUGACGGCCUUCGGGUUGUAAACCUCUUUUAGUAGGGAAGAAGCGAAAGUGACGGUACCUGCAGAAAAAGCACCGGCUAACUACGUGCCAGCCGCCGCGGUAA
rnacentral:rRNA from 1 species